rnacentral:rRNA from 1 species
UACAGAGGGUGCGAGCGUUAAUCGGAAUUACUGGGCGUAAAGGGCGCGUAGGCGGUUAGAUAAGUGAGAUGUGAAAUCCCUGGGCUUAACCUAGGAACUGCAUCUUAGACUGUUUGACUAGAGUGCAGUAGAGGGUAGUGGAAUUUCCGGUGUAGCGGUGAAAUGCGUAGAUAUCGGAAGGAACACCAGUGGCGAAGGCGGCUACCUGGACUGACACUGACGCUGAUGCGCGAAAGCGUGGGGAGCAAACAGG